GGGCCUGUAGCUCAAUGGUCAGAGCAGGGGACUCAUAAUCCCUUGGUUGGGGGUUCGAAUCCCUCCGGGCCCACCA
rnacentral:tRNA from 2 species